GUUUUCAGUCACUUUUGAUUGACUUAGAGCUUACUUGAAUUUGCUUUCUGUAAACUUCAAAUAUUACCUUCCUGGUGCUGUGUUAAACUGGGCUGUGUACGUGUGUGGUAGAAGAGGGUGAUGAAGAUGUGGCAGUGCCCAGGUGUGUGACUCCUCUAGCAGCCACUCUGCUGAAGACAGUUUGACCCAGCAGUGCCACACGUGAAACUGGAGCCUGGUAAAAGCUCCAAGGAAAACUGCUUUUUGCAUUUGGGAAAAGCAAAUGCCCAGCGUGAUGCAAAUUCCUUCAGAAACACAGGUUUUUUUUGUUAAUUCUUCAUCAAUUCACUGGUCAAGCACUGUUUUGCAUAAAGACAGGUCAGCUCAGUCUGCUGAAUGGAAGGCUUGCAAUGGAAACUGGCUUUCCAGGAGAAUGAAUAGCCUCUGCUUCCUGUGAGUCUCAAUGAGGAGGUCACUGUGAAGAGCUGGACAUCCAAGUGUUUCCCUUUGAGGAGAGGGAAGGUUUGUGGACAGACCUGGAAGCACAGAUCUGCACAAGGAGAUCUGCAGAGAGAGGGGGCAGCUGCCUUCCCCUCCUCCUGUGAGUCAGGGCUGGAAGAGAGAGCCCUUCCCAUGGCUUCACAUGAAAUUAGCUUGUGCAAAGGCAUCCACAUAACUGAUUAAACAUAACUCUUUCUUGUUCCAUUUCUUGCGAGUUGAUUUGGGGACACCUUUGUGACAAAUCUUCUGCAGAAAGCUUUUGCUUUUAAAAUAUAAUGGCACUGGUGAUUUCUGAUUUCACUCAGGAGGAAAUGCCUGAGAAAUUUUCACUUUAGAGGAAAAUGCACC
rnacentral:lncRNA from 1 species